CCCUUGGUAGCUCAGUUGGUAGAGCGGUGGACUGUAGUUGGCAAGAUGUAGUUAUCCAUAGGUCGCUGGUUCAAAUCCGGCCCGAGGGA
rnacentral:tRNA from 1 species